GAAAAAGAAGAAGAAGAUUAGCAUGGCCCCUGUGCAAGGAUGACAUACAAAUUCGUGAAGUGUUACAUAUUUUU
ensembl:snRNA Gm26017 predicted gene, 26017